CCGGCCGCCGCCGGCGUCAUUCAUAAGGCCUGGCGCUGGGCGGCCGAGGCCAGGCCUGCUUGGGGGCCAGGCCGCGGGGCCUCCUGGGUUUUCCCAGCCGCACUCAGGAGGAUGCCGGGCCCGGCGCAAGGGGUGGCUGGGAAGGGGCGCUCAGUGUCCACCCCUUUGCUGGGCCCUAGCCCUGGGCUCCUGCCAGUAGUAAGAGCUGGCACCCACUUAACGCUCCUUCGCACCACACUCCCAUCGCGUAGGUGCUACCAUCAUCACUCCCAUUGCACAGAUGAGGAAUCUGGGGUACAGCCAGGCAGAUUCCCUGCUCCUGUUCCCCGUCUGUAUUUCCUGUCUGGGCAAUGCGAAGGGAACCUGCCCCUUCCUUCAGGAUCCUCUUUCAGUACACACUUAGCAGAGGACAGUCGGGGUUUCCCAACUGCGACACUACUGACGCUGCUGUCUGCCCCCAUGUUCCCAGAUCAACCACAGUUCCAGGGAGGGAGAGUCAGAGCCUUUCUGUGAACUAUGGGGAAAUGGCUGACCACUCCGCCUCUGGAUGGAUAGAUACAUGGACAGCUGGUUUAAGUUUUGACAAAGAAAAACCCCUCCUGGAACCUCAGUCUGGAAUACAACUGUAGAACCAAUUAAGACUGGAGUAGGAAGCUGGAAAGAAGACGUGGGACAGCCAACCCACU
rnacentral:lncRNA from 1 species